GCCGUCCCUGGGGAGGGAAGCCAGUGGUUAGCAGACAGGACUUCUGUCUGUCCCUUUACAUGGGCACACAGUAACCAAGCAAUUACAAAGGACUGUUAAGCUGUGCAGCAGAUGGAAGAAGAGGAAGCUAAGGUGGCGUCUCUCCUUACUAAGAAUAAAACUGGAAGCGUGAGAGAGGCUCAGCUAACCAAGUUUCUGCAAGAGGAGGCGUUCAGGGCCCAAGCAGGUCAGCACGUGGUCCAGGUUGGUGCUCCUGUAAGGAGAAAGUCGGGAUGAGUGAGGCCAGAGCCUGCAGGGAACCCGUCUGGCCAAGAAGCACUAUAGGGUGCUCUGGCUGCGGGUUGGUGGCAGGCAUCUUGCAGGUCUGUGAUGCAAGACCAGGAAACAAAGGGAUUGGGACACCGGUGGCCUCCGUGCUCACUAAAGCUACUUGCUCUCUGGAACUUGAUAGAACCAACAUUGGUUUGGAGGAUGAUGCCUGAGAUUCCACCAGCCCUUGGGAGUCGGGCCAGGACUGCUACGAUCUUGUCUCAAAAGAACAACACGGAGACAGUGAGAUGGCUCAGCAGGUACAAGCGGCUGCUCUUGCAUGAGGACCCGAGUUUGAUCUGCAGAUCCCACAGUGAAAGAAGAGCCAAUUCAAGAUUGUCCUCUGACCCCAACUAAAUGUGACUGCCAUACAGGGAGAAGACAGUUCACAGAUCAUAAUAAAACCUAAAAGGAAACCUAUCUACAUUAAGAUAAAGACUAUAAUAAAGAUGAUAUGUCAAGUUGA
rnacentral:lncRNA from 1 species